rnacentral:misc_RNA from 1 species
GAAUGUAUGCUAGAAGCAUUUGAUUAUAAAGAGAUAAGUUAUAACGUAUGUGUUGUUUACAUAUGUUUUAUGGGACUUAAAAUAUGUCCAGCGAGAUUUUUUACACAAAUUUGUUAAUAUGGUCUUUUCUGUGACAUGCACGGAGUGGGGAUCAGAAACUGUUUAAUCAUUGUUCUCCAAGAAAAACUACCUUGUAAGAUGCAUAUAUCUGAGCUGUAA